GUUGAUACCACUGACAUCCUCUGACAAAACCGCUACAUUGUAUUCGCGGAGAAACACGUAAGGAGACUUAUCCGAACCCUGAACUCCUUCUCCAGCAUUUAUUGAUUUACAUUUUAUCCAGCAGCAGCUAACUUGGAGCCAUUAGCAAUACACGCCGGCCAGCACAUAUGAAAAAUGGAGCUAUCUGCCCCCACUCCCUCCACAUCUGAUGGCUGGAAAAGCACUUUGCGGGCAUCCUAAAACACCAAUAGCUGCAGAAGGUUGUGCAAGGUAAAACAGAGAGGUAACCUUGGCCACUUUAUUCACACACCCGCUGUGGUUAACAACAAACAGGGCAGUCUAUCAGGAGAAGUUAUUGGACAGAGGUGGAGUGUAACACUGUAGCUACAACUGGACAAAACACAGCAUCCUCCCUCUGCCACUCCGUUCAUACUGCCCAUUCAUAAUAUUGGAGAAUCCCCCAGCAAAAGAAACAGGAUCCGCGGGUAAUAGAACGCAAACAGGAAGUCAUUUGUCGUAUUUGGAAUGCAUGCAUGUCAUACACACAUGAAACACAGGAGACUCUGCUUUUGAGGAUGAUUGCUCUGGGUAUAAAAGAGGGACUUGGUGUCACAUUACCCCAUGCUUCUGAGGAAGGACUACUGUGCCCGAAAAAGCAUUUAAGCAGCGGGAUAUAUCCCACCCCUGGAUCCUUCAGCGGUGAAACUGCAGGUGUCCAUAGAAAUUAGGUGUUACCUUCCUAAGUUCCGGAGCUGUGGAGGGACCCUUUGCCUUACCAUCAGGCUACCUUGGACAAAACUUUUUUUCCAGUGUGGAUCAUCCAGUUUGGUGAUAUACAGUAUGUCUGUUUUGUUUUAUUUCCUGUGAGUGCAAUUGUUUAUUAAAUAUAUGUUUUAUAAAA